rnacentral:lncRNA from 10 species
GAAGGAGCUGCGGGGCGCGGGAGGAGGAAGUAGAGCCCGGGACCGCCAGGCCACCACCGGCCGCCUCAGCCAUGGACGCGUCCCUGGAGAAGAGGGAGUCUCGGUCUCUUGCCCAGGCUGGAGUGCAGUGAGGCGAUCUCGGAUCCCUGCAACCUCCGCCUCCCGGAUUCAAGUGAUUCUCCUGCCUCAGCCUCCCGAGCAGCUGUGACUACAGGCGUGUGACACCACACCCGACUAAUUUUUGUAUUCCCAGUAGAGAUGGGGUUUCACCACGUUGGUCAGGAUGGUCUCAAACGCCUGACCUUGUGAUCCUUCAGCCUCAGCCUCCCACGGUGCUGGGAUUACAGGCGUAAGCCACUGCACCUGGCCGGGACUUAGAUUUAUAUUCCCUGAAGUAAUACAGGGCCUUAGAUGGAAUAAACGAUUUAUAUUGGUGCUAAUUGGGCAGAAAAGAAAAAGCAUUGCUGUAAUAUGAAUGUUGAUGACUUUAUGUUCUGAAAAAUAGUCUGGGUCAAAGUGAAACAUUUAAUUGUGUUCAUUAUUCCUGUUUCUUUGAGGAAUAGACUAUCCUGCGUUAAAUUCUACAUUGUUAAUAUAAACUCAAGAGCUAUGUGAGCAGUUGUAAAUGAUCCCAUUUAAACUGAUUGUUGCAUAAUUUAUACUGAUUACAGAAACCACAAUGUUAUUUGAUGCUCACCCUCUAAAAUUUAAA